UGCCACCACAAAGAGAACUGCUAUAAAUAUUUUAGAACAUGAGAUGAUCACGGAUCUGUUCAAGCUCACAGAAGAAUUGAACACCAGGCCUAAACAAUGCCCUGCUCCACCGGUGGGCUGUUGUGGCAAAAGGGGAGGCUGCUUCUGAAUCUGGGGGGUAGAACACCUCCCCAGCAGCCACCUUGGGGCUGGGGAGUAGGGAACUUCUCACUUCUGUUCCUGAAUCUUCCCCUUCAUCUCCUACCCCCAUUCAGUUAGCACACAACAAGAAAUAAAUUGCAAGAAGCCACAUAAUUCUAGAGGAUGAAUAAGGACAAAUUAAUUAUUUUUAGAAGGUGCUAAUUAAAUUUUCGCAGCAAAUCACCUGAAUAAAGACAUGCCGAGCCAAGCAAAAUGAAAAGCCCUGUGCUCUCAUACGUAGUCAGAGUUCUGGUGCCACUUAGUGGACAGAUUGGGAACUGAGGAGCCACCUCAGGUGCUAGCGUGGGAUUGAUUGCAUGUGAAAUGGGGAUAUGCCCUGAGAGAUGAUCUCAGAAAUGAAUGUUUUUUGGAGUAUUUCUAGGAAACUCUUUUCCCAUGCUUUUUGGAGGCAUCUUGGACUUAGUCCUAUAUUUAUCUGUCAGGCAAAAUUCUUAGGGCAAGACCUACCUUUGCUGGCUGCAUUGUAGAGGGCGUGGUAAGAGGUUACAACAUCCUUUCUCUAUGAACCCAAACAGAAUGUGUUACAAAUAAAGUUAGAAAAUCAAUUAAGUCA